rnacentral:rRNA from 1 species
GAUGAACGCUGGCGGCGUGCCUAAUACAUGCAAGUCGAGCGAACGGACGCGAAGCUUGCUUCUCUGAUGUUAGCGGCGGACGGGUGAGUAACACGUGGAUACUCUACCUAUCAGACUGGGAUAACUUCGGGAAACCGGAGAUAAUACCGGAUGAUAUUUUGAACCGCAUGGUUCAAUAGUGAAAGACGGUCUUGCUGUCACUUAUAGAUGGAUCCGCGCUGCAUUAGCUAGUUGGUAAGGUAACGGCUUACCAAGGCAACGAUGCAUAGCCGACCUGAGAGAGUGAUCGGCCACACUGGAACGGAGACGCGGUCCUGACGCCUACGGGAGGCAGCAGUAGGGAAUCGUCCGCAGUGGUCGAAAGCCUGACGGAGCAACGCCGCGUGAGUGGUGAAAGUCUUCGGAUCGUAAAACUCUGUUAUGAGUGAAGAACAUAUGUGUAAGUAACUGUGCACAUCUUGACGGUACCUAAUCAGAAAGCCACGGCUAACUACGUG